rnacentral:rRNA from 1 species
UACGUAGGGGGGCAAGCGUUGUCCGGAUUUAUUGGGCGUAAAGAGCGUGUAGGCGGCCAGACAGGUCAGCUGUGAAAACUCGAGGCUCAACCUCGAGACGUCGGUUGAAACCGUUUGGCUAGAGUCCGGAAGAGGAGAGUGGAAUUCCUGGUGUAGCGGUGAAAUGCGCAGAUAUCAGGAGGAACACCAAUGGCGAAGGCAGCUCGCUGGGACGGUACUGACGCUGAGACGCAAAAGCGUGGGGAGCGAACAGG